rnacentral:rRNA from 1 species
UACGUAGGGUGCAAGCGUUGUCCGGAAUUAUUGGGCGUAAAGAGCUCGUAGGCGGUUUGUCGCGUCUGCUGUGAAAACCCGAGGCUCAACCUCGGGCCUGCAGUGGGUACGGGCAGACUAGAGUGCGGUAGGGGAGACUGGAAUUCCUGGUGUAGCGGUGAAAUGCGCAGAUAUCAGGAGGAACACCGGUGGCGAAGGCGGGUCUCUGGGCCGAUACUGACGUGGAGGAGCGAAAGCGUGGGGAGCGAACAGG